UGGCAGCGUCACUUAGUAGCCCUCUCCCUCACAGGGCUUUUGAGGCAGACAAAUGCCACUGAUAAAGCAAAAGCAAAUGUUUUGGGUGAAUUCCCCAUAGCUACACUAGAUUUGAGGCUGAGAAAUGGAAUGCCUGUCACUGUUGACUGAAAAAUACAGCUCUCCUAAUAGAGUCUUGGUGCAGGAGCUGUUAGCCUUGCCGCCCUGCAGACUUGAAGAAUUGCGACGUCGGCCUAACGUAAUUCUGAAAAGAAAAAAAGUGAAUUAUUGGAAUGACAAAUGAGGCAAAGUUACCACCGUGAUGGAGAGGUCCACGGAGGCUCCUUAUCAUCA